GGCAAAGCUCUACAGCUCCAGAUCCUUAGAAAUAGCUCCGCUUCUAUUUUUUCUAACCAAACGGUUGAGCUUCGUGAAAUUCAGAUCUGAAAAAAACCUGGAUCCGCCGCCUCCGUUCUUUUUUCCCCUGACAUCAUUUCUCUGACCCAACGUAGUUCCUUCUCCCAACGUAGUUCCUUCUCCCAGUGCCGCCCGCCGCCCACUUCCCUUGCCUUCCUCACCAGCACUGGCCUUGGCGUGGCCGGAGGGCGCCACGGCCUUGGCGCGACGACGCCAGCGCUGGCCUUGGCCUUGGUUCGGUUGCGGCCUGCACUGGCGUUGGCCUGGCUGGGGCCCAUGGCCUGGCCUCUCUUUCAUGUCACCAGUACAGCGCGACACUCCGCAUCCACCCAAAUCGGAGCUAGGGCUACUGGCCUUGCUGCCCCCACGCAAGGCGCCAAGAGCCGCCGCAUCCAGCCGCAUCACCGCCGGUCCCACGCAAGGAGAGGCGGUGGCGGCGUCUUCUGCCGAUUCGAGGAGCAGGGGAGGCUGGAUUUGAGGAUUUGGGGCACCAGCUAACGCCCGGCUCCAGCAUGGACACGGCGUUUCUGCGUUCUCCGCUUGCUCGUAAUCUAGUUUCUGACGAGUUUGCCGUUCUUCACUCCACAAGCUACCGUUUCCAUCCUCUGCGAUAUUUGAGAUGCAACCCGACAGACUCAAGGCCCUGCCAAACACUAUCCUGCCAAACACUGUCUGCUUCACCUUUAAGGACCUGGAGUAAAUUCCAAGUUUUGUGAUCCAAUAGGGCAACUCUUGUGCAGGGCGUGACUACAAUGGAUAUUUUUCGUGACGAGCUGGCCACCAAUCUUGCUCUUGCUUAGAGGUAGAAUGUAAUGGAGUAGUAAAUUUUCAAAUUUAUUUUCUAUGUAUGGACAAUUAAUUUAUGUAUGAACAAGGUUAAUUUUAUGUCAUGUGACAACAAUGGUUAAA